rnacentral:lncRNA from 1 species
UGUCUAGAUUAGAAACUUUUAUGCAAGAAGGAUGUUCAAAGGAAUGUACUUUGAAUGUGAGACUUCACGUCUAUAGAAUUGUCUUGUAACAAUUUCCGAUAGAGUACUUUGUAAUUUCAUUGGCCAAGUCUUGGUGACUUUUGUGCUAUGAUUUUGCAAAAGGAUCGUUGCAUAAAAUGUUAGAAUCUAGCAUAUUCUAGUAGUGGCAAGAACCUUGUGUUCUUACACUAACAGUUAGGAUUAAGGAAUUGUGAAAUAAGCAUCAUUGGAAAGGUUUUCAAUUGAUCUAUUUCACAAAGCAUGGACCAUAUGAAACAAUGUGUGCAUGCUUAGAGCAUAGGACAAUUGUUGUUGUAGUUCAAGUAAUGAGUUGAUUAUCCGAAACAUUAAAUGAUAAAUAAUGAGUGAUCAAUAUGGUGGAUAAAUAGAAGUGUUUUAUUUACUCUCACAAGUUUGGGGCCAUAUAGGAUUAAGUAUUAUUGUCAUGUUUCAAUUUGCAUGUUUUGACUUCCAGAAUAACUAGGUUAUUCAAACAUCCACAGUCGGUCAUACGUUGGGAGUAGGUAUGAAUAAAGACUGUCAUGAAUCUGUCUGUAGAUUGUCUGAAGUGUUUAGACAUAGCACAAGUUUGCUGCAGAGUUCAUGAGUGCUUUGAUAAGAUUAGAGUAUUGGAUUAAACCCACGCUCACUUGGAUCACUUCAUGGUUUUAUCACGAGUGAUUAGUGAGACGAUAAUAUUGUAUAUUCUUGAAACCGAGACAUGUGAGUUGUUAUUUGUUGGUCGGUUGCACAUUGAUAAUAAGUAAACGCACCAGUAACUUGGUGUUAUAAAACUUAUUGUUGUGUGUGAUUCGAUGAGUGAAUGCAAGCGAGCAUAUGAGUCGAAGUUUAUGCAUUCCUUUUACCCAAAGUAGGAUAAAAGCGAGAUCUGUGGGCCUCUCGAUGAUUUGGUGAUGACACCUAAGCGCUUGGCCAAGCCGGGACUAAGUUGAUGUGUUCAAUUGUAGUCUGUUAUCAGUCGUCAUAAAUCGGAAGUCGGGAAACAGUAUAGAGAGAAUGAUUGAAAUUCAUGUCUUUUGUCUAUACGAUAUCUUGAGAAUGGAGGAAUAUAUAAUCCCUUAUCUANNNNNNNNNGGGACUAAGUUGAUGUGUUCAAUUAUAGUCUGUUGUCAGUCAUCAUAAAUCGGAAGUCGGGAAACAGUAUGGAGAGAAUGAUUGAAAUUCAUGUAUUUUGUCUAUAAGAUAUCUUGAAAAUGGAGGAAUAUAUAAUCCCUUAUCUAGAGGACACGCUAUCUGAUAAGAUCAGAGUUGACAGCGGCUUUUGAAAGCUACGAUUGCUGAUCAGGUUCUGAAGUCAUACGGAAAAUAGUUAUUAGACUUAUCCAAGUGGGAGACUGUUGGAUUAGUGUCUAAGUCCAUAACUAUUUUGGUAUGUACUUGACCCGAUUAUGAGCAUGGUCCUUUUGGGUUGCCUUCAUCAUAGCAAUAUGUAGGAUGAAUUAAGGAGAGAGAGGUUUAAAUAUGAUUUAUUAAUAUAUUAUGAGAAUAAUAUAUUAAAGGAGAAAUCAUAUUGUUUAAUUAAUAUUAGUCAAGAAUUAAUUAAGAAUUAAUUUUGUGGCUAAAAGAGAUUAAUUAAAUUUAGGGGCUGGACUGC